AGAGAUAUUGUCUUUCACUCGCGAAGGAAAACACAGAAAGUAAGUGUUUUACUUCAUUUACUAUAUGUAUUCCAUAAAAUAAUAUUAUUUAGUAAUGAUAUUUGUAUGCUGUGCGUGCCUAGACGAUCUGAAACAUUUCUCACAGAUUAAAUUUGAUGUCAAAUCAAACCACUGUAAACGGCACAAAUCUAAAAUAACGUUAGCAAUAUCAGUAACGCUAAUUGUUUCUUGCAUGUCUCCUGAACAAAUUUUGGCAUUAUAUUAGGCAUUAAUUUAAUGAGUUUUCAUAAUGUUGAUGUGUCAAUAUAUUGGAUUGGAGUUAUUUUUCCAUAUAUAUGUAUGUAUGUGUAUGUUUCAUAUUUCAUAUAUAUUCAUUUGUAUAUAUUUAAAAAUAACUUUUCAAUAAACUGAAACUCUCUAUACCGCAUGAGUUAAAUUGUACACCAUUCAAAGUGAAUUUGUGCCCUCACAAAACUUGGAAUAUGACACAUGGGUAGCAUGAACUACAGAUUAGAUAUGUAUUUUUUUUUUGGUAUGCUUGUACUGUCCGUUAUUCAUGUGCUGUCCCAUUUAUGUGCAUUCAUUUUGAUAGACAGAGCCCUGCCUCAGCACAGUGAGAUCAGCAUGGAAUUCAGGAAUCACAACCUAUUUUCCAAAGCACUUUUGUGAUGCUGCAAGUGGAUGCUCUGCUUAGUUGAAAACUGCAGAGAACCACGUCUUGUCCUGAAAAAAAGAAAGAGACUACUUUCUCCAAGGAGGUCCAAACGCCACUGGCACAGACUGCGUUCAGCGAUUAAUCGAAAUCGUAAUAAAAUCAAGAUUUGAGCGUGCACGAUUUCUAAAUCGCUUUAUAGCACGAUUUUCCGCGGGCCCGACCUCCCGCAGUAUGCUAUCCAAUCCAAUCAGAAUGCAGCGCACCUAAGUGGAGCGAGAGAACAGAACAGACUGGACAUAUGCCUAACUCCAGGUUCACACACUCUGUCUUUGAUGCAUAUUUUUUCCGCGCCCAUGUUAAUGGAUCAGAGUGUUCACACUGCACAUGGUAAAAGAUGUGAACAGAAAAGGUUAGAAAUAGAAAGGUGCGAAAAGAAUGAAUAUCUAGCGCAUGAGCAUAGAGAGAGUUGUGAGUGAGUGAGUGAGUGAGUGAGAGGAGACGUUUUAAUUGCGCGGAUGACAGCAGCGUGUAUCUGAGCAUCGCGUCUGGUUUUGUGACAAAGCAAAGGCGAGCGGAGAGAUUCGCGCAUUAUUUUAAUGUGCUUUCACGUUACAAUAACUCGCUCUCGCUGCUGCUUCUGCACCGCAUACACAUACUGUAUACGCACUGCAGAUGGAGUACGUGUAAACCUGUAUAAUGUAUAACAAAUCUAUUUCAACACCUGAGGCACACUCCAAUGUCUAGACAUUUUGUUUGACAUCUUUACUUAGUGAUUAUUUUGACUUAUGUCUGUUCUAGAGGCAUGUUACAACUUUUUGAUAGCUCUCAUUGGUUUUCUUUUGGAAAUAUAUUUCAAAUUUAUACUGAAUGCAUUUAUGACUGUAAAGCAUGUCUGUGUGUGUUAAAAUCGUGAUUAAAAUCGAAAUCGCAAAAUUGAUCAAAAAAUCGUGAUAGGUUUUUUUUUGUCCAUAUCGCACAGCCCUAAUCAGUAACAUACAUUCAGCCAGGGCCGUCCUUAGAGGGGUGCAAC
rnacentral:lncRNA from 1 species